rnacentral:rRNA from 1 species
AGUGAACGCUGGCGGUAGGCCUAACACAUGCAAGUCGAACGGCAGCACAGUAAGAGCUUGCUCUUACGGGUGGCGAGUGGCGGACGGGUGAGGAAUACAUCGGAAUCUACUUUUUCGUGGGGGAUAACGUAGGGAAACUUACGCUAAUACCGCAUACGACCUACGGGUGAAAGCAGGGGAUCUUCGGACCUUGCGCGAUUGAAUGAGCCGAUGUCGGAUUAGCUAGUUGGCGGGGUAAAGGCCCACCAAGGCGACGAUCCGUAGCUGGUCUGAGAGGAUGAUCAGCCACACUGGAACUGAGACACGGUCCAGACUCCUACAGGAGGCAGCAGUGGGGAAUAUUGGACAAUGGGCGCAAGCCUGAUCCAGCCAUACCGCGUGGGUGAAGAAGGCCUUCGGGUUGUAAAGCACUUUUGUUGGGAAAGAAAAGCAGCAGGUUAAUACCCAGCUGUUCUGACGGUACCCAAAGAAUAAGCACCGGCUAACUUCGUG